UUUGGGAGUAGCACUACCCACCCAGAACUACACCACUGAAGGAUCGGAAGGAAAUAUUUCACCCUGGUUAUAUCCACACAUCAAUGUAGCAUACACCACACAUCUCUUCAGCAAUCGGGUAAAGAGAGCGAAGAUCAAUGCUUCUCGUUUUUAUGCAAUUGUAAAUAGCACAUUAGGAUUAGAUAGAAAUAGUCAGUAGGAGUUUAGUCUCUGCUCCACCAGGUUGUAGAUAUUUUAACGUGUUGAAUAUGUCCAUUGUAAAUAUAUGUAUCGUGUUUGAUUAAUAAAUGUGUUUAAGUACGGUCGUGUAGUUAGUCGUCGUAUAAUCGUAAUGCAGAUAGUUAUGGUCGGAUUCUUGGAGGAAGAACGGAUUUGCAUCACCCUAUAGGUUCAACCCACUUGGUUUAUCAGAACCUUCAUCCAUUCGUGUUGGGGGAUAGAAAUCCUCAUUACAGUCCACGCAAGGAACCACAUAAGCCCAAUUACUCUUCCCCAACAUAUGGUCCUUCGAGCCGGAUGGAGAACCAGGUUUGGACAAUCCAAUCGGAACCUACGGAAACAGCAAUGGAAGGAUACUGUUCAACAAAGUGAAGCUUUCGCCAGGUCUUUGUUUCCAUUAACAAUGCAAUUAUGUCGAAAUUUGCAAUGGCACAUCGAAGUUAUACGCUGAAUCUUCUGGAACGCUAAAAGGAUAGCACAAUGGGCAGCCAUCUUCCUCUGAAUGAUGGUCAAUCCGAACCACAGAUCCAAAUUAGAUGUCAUUUUGGUAUCAUAAUUACCUCGGGAUAGGAAUACUGAACCGGCAUCGCAUACUGUUUAUCCAGGUAAAUAUGCACAUGUUCAGUAUAUGUCUUGCCGAAGUAGAAUUUCAUUGGCACUAACUCUUCCGUUGUCUCUACGCAUUGCACAAUCUGGCACAACACCCCGAGUUGGAUACACCACUAGGAAACUAUCGGUUCUGCAAACUUCACUUAUGGAUUUGGUCAUCAUAUUGGGAGCAUUGUAUGGUUGCAACGCUCAUGGAAACAUUCACCAAUUCACAUCCACAUCGACCAUACUACGAAUUGAGUUUCAAUGAACGAGCACAUCGUCACGAUCACAAACACCGAGUCGGUGUGAUACACUCCACUUCAGCAGUUUCAACAAACUUCAUCUGUAAUUCAUCACUGGCAGUAUUCACAUCUCGGUACUCUAAAGUCAACAACAUCUCGGGAUGAUAACAUACACAUCGAGCAAUCGGAAUAUCAGGCAACAUUACCGGCGAAUGCGCCUUUCCCAAAGGUAAGCAGAUUUACAUCGUAUAUGUCUAGUGAAGCUAGGACUAUCUAGCAGAGUACUACAUACGCACUUCUUCUUCUUCAAACUCAACACUCACCACGGAAUCGAUCACCUCGGAGGCUUUGCCAACAAAAACAAUCAGUUCGCUUCAUUUCACUUCGGAUGAAUUUCGUCACAUGCUCACGACGACUGCUAGGACUGGAUAUCCAAGGUUUCAUCUACAAACAUCGACACAUUGCACGGUUUUCCACGGUUUUCGGGCAAAUGUGAUUUCCAACUCAACAUUCCAAGGAUUACGAGUACAAGGGGUGCUCGUUCCAACACGCGGCGUAUCUGGUUCCCAUUACCACAAUCACGAGUGCAAAGGGUGCUCGUUACAAAACCUUCGGACACACAGGGUGUUCGAACACACUUCCCAGGAUUACAAGGGCACACGGAGUGUCUGUAUCCCACGACUAUGGAUUAUGAGUACAAAGGGUGCUUGUUCAACGGUCCUUGGGCACAUAGGGUGUCCAACCACAACUUCCAAGGUUAACGGUCACAAAGGGUGAUCAACCAAUACACCACCAAACAAACGGUUCACAGGAUUACGAGUACACGGGUACUCGUGUCACGGUUUUGACACACUGGGUGUCUACACUCAACUUUAAAGGGCUAGGAGUGCACAGGGUACUCGCUACGUGGUUACGACAACGAGAUGUCGAAUGUCACCUCCCAAUAAUGGAAUACGAGCACACUGGGUGUUCGAAUAGGAUUUAAUACGACUGGAACGGCCAAGUUACAACAACGAAUAUCGGGCACGACGAACAAACACGGGGUGUGCGUUUAUUGUGGACAGCGGUAUGACACAACAGCAAUUCUAUCCAAGCACCAACACCAACGGCAAGGGUUUCGGCGGAGAUGAAAUACAUAUUUGGUCAGGUUAGUGAUAUGGCAGUAUAUGUCUGCCGAAGCUGGACUCUCUUUUGGUAUACUACACACCAUCUCUCACUUGUCAGUAUAUGCGACGGAGUUCGACGGAGGCAAUCGGCACUGCUACCGUCUGUGGAAAACGGGGGAAAGCCUAAAAACAGCGAGCAGUAACAGGUACAACAUUGCUGCCACACGCGACUCCACAUCCAAUACCGAACGGUGGAUUGUUUCGUAGCUCAAAUCUCAUCUCUAGCGACUGUGCAUCAGUACAAUCAAUACUGAUACGUACAUCAGAUAUAUACCAGCAUGUGUGAAACAAUUCGGUAGGCUUUGUUCGGAUCACAGAGACGCAGUCGGGUUAGGAGCGCAGAUAAAUUGAUCAUCUCCAGCGUAGAAAUGGUAAACACUAGGUGGUACAAUAGUAUAGGUAGCUGAGGUAGCUUUAACCGAGAGAAAGAUAGGUAGAUGUGUAGCUCUGUAACUCAGCACAAACAAUUCAUUAACUUAUUUGAUCGAGCGAAUGUAAACAGACUCAGUAGUGGCUGAUUUGAACGGAAAGGUUGAUCACCAUUGGAAGGCGUGCAAUUAGUUCCACGAGUAAUGGAUUAAGCAAUCGUAUAUAGGACCGGAUCAUUUUGCAGCACUGGGCUGUAAGCUUUCAAUGCGUCCAAAACGGAUUCAAAACUUCGAAAGUAGGUAGCAGGGUUACCAUGACGUCCGGAUUGAUAUGCUACAUGGUAUUCAAAAAUUGUCAAUCAAGGCUUAUCAGACUAAUACAGAACAAUUGCUCGAAUGGUUUAUCCAACUUUGGAACGGUUUCGAAAUCAAAUUAACACCGUUAUUUGAAGGCAGGCUUCCAAUGGAGGUACGUUAGUUUUAGAAGCAUAGCAGCUUGGUAUCCAGUAUUCCACGGUGGGUGAGGGCGUUUAAGGUAUGAAUUCAGAAAUUGAAACAAUUUCUGGGUGGGUGAGGAUGUUUGGGAGUAGCACUACCCACCCAGAACUACACCACUGAAGGAUCGGAAGGAAAUAUUUCACCCUGGUUAUAUCCACACAUCAAUGUAGCAUACACCACACAUCUCUUCAGCAAUCGGGUAAAGAGAGCGAAGAUCAAUGCUUCUCGUUUUUAUGCAAUUGUAAAUAGCACAUUAGGAUUAGAUAGAAAUAGUCAGUAGGAGUUUAGUCUCUGCUCCACCAGGUUGUAGAUAUUUUAACGUGUUGAAUAUGUCCAUUGUAAAUAUAUGUAUCGUGUUUGAUUAAUAAAUGUGUUUAAGUACGGUCGUGUA
rnacentral:lncRNA from 1 species